rnacentral:rRNA from 1 species
UCUGGGAAACCCGAAAGAUCGAAAGGGGAGAUUCACCGUCAGCGACGUUGGCUUCUCGUCGGCUCGUCGCGCGCUCCCGCGGCCAUCCCUCGCCGGAUGCGUCGCGUGUGUAGUCGCGCGGCGUCCUUCGUGCGCGCGAUUUCGCGACCCAUGCCCGACGGCGUAGACGUGCACUUCUCCCCUAGUAGAACGUCGCGACCCGCUGAGCGCCGGUCUACGGCCCGGUGCGUCGCCUGUUCCGCCGUCCUUUGUGGCGUCGCGGGGCAGACGCCCGGUGCAACGUCCCGACCGGCUGCCCGGCGGUAUCUCUCGCAAGGUACUCUGGCCGCAAGCGCGCGUCCGCGCGCGCCGUGCGUCCUUCGAAAAAGGCUCGCCGCAAGCGCGGUCAGUGUUAACGCAAACCCGUGUCUGUACGGACGAACUACGCCGUCGCCGGGGCUGACCCGCUGUUCGCUGCGCGAUGUCCUCGGACAGGCAUGUGUAGUACCGGUCAGCGACGCUAUUGCUUUGGGUAUUUCAGG